GUAGGUGGCAAGCGUUGUCCGGAAUUAUUGGGCGUAAAGCGCGCGCAGGCGGUUCUUUAAGUCUGAUGUGAAAGCCCACGGCUCAACCGUGGAGGGUCAUUGGAAACUGGAGAACUUGAGUACAGAAGAGGAAAGCGGAAUUCCACGUGUAGCGGUGAAAUGCGUAGAGAUGUGGAGGAACACCAGUGGCGAAGGCGGCUCUCUGGUCUGUAACUGACGCUGAGGCGCGAAAGCGUGGGGAGCAAACAGGAUUAGAUACCCUGGUAGUCCACGCCGUAAACGAUGAGUGCUAAGUGUUAGGGGGUUUCCGCCCCCCUUAGUGCUGCAGCUAACGCAUUAAGCACUCCGCCUGGGAGUACGGCCGCAAGGCUG
rnacentral:rRNA from 1 species